rnacentral:rRNA from 1 species
AUUGAACGCUUGCGGCAGGCCUAACACAUGCAAGUCGAACGGUAACAGGAAACAGCUUGCUGUUUCGCUGACGAGUGGCGGACGGGUGAGUAAUGUCUGGGAAACUGCCUGAUGGAGGGGGAUAACUACUGGAAACGGUAGCUAAUACCGCAUAACGUCGCAAGACCAAAGAGGGGGACCCUCGGGCCUCUUGCCAUCGGAUGUGCCCAGAUGGGAUUAGCUUGUUGGUGGGGUAACGGCUCACCAAGGCGACGAUCCCUAGCUGGUCUGAGAGGAUGACCAGCCACACUGGAACUGAGACACGGUCCAUACUCCUACGGGAGGCAGCAGUGGGGAAUAUUGCACAAUGGGCGCAAGCCUGAUGCAGCCAUGCCGCGUGUAUGAAGAAGGCCUUCGGGUUGUAAAGUACUUUCAGCGGGGAGGAAGGGAGUAAAGUUAAUCUGUUUGCUCAUUGACGUACCCGCAGAAGAAGCACCGGCUAACUCCGUGCCAGCAGCCGCGGUAAUACGGAGGGUGCAAGCGUUAAUCGGAAAUUCCUGGGCGUAAAGCGCACGCAGGCGGUUUGUUAGUCAGAUGUGAAAUCCCCGGGCUCAACCUGGGAACUGCAUCUGAUACUGGCAAGCUUGAGUCUCGUAGAGGGGGGUAGAAUUCCAGGCGUAGCGGUGAAAUGCGUAGAGAUCUGGAGGAAUACCGGUGGCGAAGGCGGCCCCCUGGACGAAGACUGACGCUCAGGUGCGAAAGCGUGGGGAGCAAACAGGAUUAGAUACCCUGGUAGUCCACGCCGUAAACGAUGUCGACUUGGAGGUUGUGCCCUUGAGGCGUGGCUUCCGGAGCUAACGCGUUAAGUCGACCGCCUGGGGAGUACGGCCGCAAGGUUAAAACUCAAAUGAAUUGACGGGGGCCCGCACAAGCGGUGGAGCAUGUGGUUUAAUUCGAUGCAACGCGAAGAACCUUACCUGGUCUUGACAUCCACGGAAGUUUUCAGAGAUGAGAAUGUGCCUUCGGGAACCGUGAGACAGGUGCUGCAUGGCUGUCGUCAGCUCGUGUUGUGAAAUGUUGGGUUAAGUCCCGCAACGAGCGCAACCCUUAUCCUUUGUUGCCAGCGGUCCGGCCGGGAACUCAAAGGAGACUGCCAGUGAUAAACUGGAGGAAGGUGGGGAUGACGUCAAGUCAUCAUGGCCCUUACGACCAGGGCUACACACGUGCUACAAUGGCGCAUACAAAGAGAAGCGACCUCGCGAGAGCAAGCGGACCUCAUAAAGUGCGUCGUAGUCCGGAUUGGAGUCUGCAACUCGACUCCAUGAAGUCGGAAUCGCUAGUAAUCGUGGAUCAGAAUGCCACGGUGAAUACGUUCCCGGGCAU